GUGGAGAGUGGCGCACGGGUGAGUAACACAUGGCUGACCUGCCCCUCAGAGGGGGAGGACCGGUGGAAACGCCGGCUAAUACCCCAUGCUUGCGUCCGGGUUAGAGGCCGGAUGCAGAAAGGCCGAGGCGCUGAGGGAGGGGGCUGUGGACCAUCAGCUAGUUGGUAGGGUAACGGCCUACCAAGGCGAGGACGGAUAGGGGGCCUGAGAGGGUGACCCCCACACGGGCACUGAGACACGGGCCCGACUCCUACGGGAGGCAGCAGUAAGGGAUAUUGCGACAAUGGGCGAAAGCCUGACGCAGCAACGCCGCGUGGAGGAUGAAGGCCUUCGGGUUGUAAACUCCUUUUCUGUGGGAAGAGGAAGGACGGUACCACAGGAAGAAGUCUCGGCUAACUACGUGCCAGCAGCCGCGGUAAAACGUAGGAGGCGAGCGUUAUCCGGAUUUACUGGGUGUAAAGCGCGUGCAGGCGGUCUGGUAAGUCGAGCGUGAAAGCUCCCGGCUCAACCGGGAGAGGACGUGCGAAACUGCGAGGCUAGAGACAGGUAGAGGCGUACGGAAUUCCGGGUGUAGUGGUGAAAUGCGUAGAUAUCCGGAGGGACACCAGUGGCGAAGGCGGUACGCUGGGCCUGGCCUGACGCUAAGACGCGAAAGCAUGGGGAGCGAACGGGAUUAGAAACCCCGGUAGUCCAUGCCGUAAACGAUGCUAACUAGGUGUUGCGGGUAAAAGACCGGCAGUGCCGGAGUUAACGCGAUAAGUUAGCCACCUGGGGACUACGGUCGCAAGGCUAAAACUCAAAGGAAUUGACGGGGGCCCGCACAAGCAGCGGAGCGUGUGGUUUAAUUCGAGGCUACACGAAGAACCUUACCUGGGCUUGACAUGACGGUGGUAGGGAACCGAAAGGGGACCGACCUUCGGGAGCCGUCACAGGUGCUGCAUGGCUGUCGUCAGCUCGUGUCGUGAGAUGUUCGGUUAAGUCCGGUAACGAGCGCAACCCUCAUCGCUAGUUACAAGUGUCUAGCGAGACUGCCCGUUCAACGCGGGAGGAAGGCGGGGAUGACGUCAAGUCAGCAUGGCCUUUAUGUCCAGGGCUACACACACGCUACAAUGGCCGGUACAAUGGGUCGCCAACCCGCGAGGGGGAGCCAAUCCACCAAAGCCGGUCACAGUUCGAAUUGCAGGCUGCAACCCGCCUGCAUGAAGUUG
rnacentral:rRNA from 1 species